UACGGAAGGCAGCAGUGGGGAAUAUUGGACAAUGGGCGCAAGCCUGAUCCAGCCAUGCCGCGUGUGUGAAGAAGGCCUUCGGGUUGUAAAGCACUUUUGUCCGGAAAGAAAAGCUUAGGGUUAAUAACCUUGAGUCAUGACGGUACCGGAAGAAUAAGCACCGGCUAACUUCGUGCCAGCAGCCGCGGUAAUACGAAGGGUGCAAGCGUUACUCGGAAUUACUGGGCGUAAAGCGUGCGUAGGUGGUUUGUUAAAGUCUGAUGUGAAAGCCCUGGGCUCAACCUGGGAAUGGCAUUGGAAACUGGCUUACUAGAGUGCGGGUAGAGGGGUGUGGAAUUCCCGGGUGUAGCAGUGAAAUGCGUAGAUAUCGGGAGGAACAUCUGUGGCGAAGGCGACACCCUGGACCAGCACUGACACUGAGGCACGAAAGCGUGGGGAGCAAACG
rnacentral:rRNA from 1 species